rnacentral:sRNA from 1 species
GAGGAGCUGACAAGCACAAGUGUGGAACACAUCAUUGUCAAUCCUAAUGCUGCCUAUGACAAGUUCAAGGACAAGAGAGUGGGGACAAAGGGACUUGAUUUCUCAGAUCGUAUUGGAAAAACCAAGAGGACAGGAUAUGAAUCUGGAGAAUAUGAGAUGCUUGGAGAGGGUCUGGGAGUGAAGGAGACACCCCAGCAAAAGUACCAGCGCCUACUGCAUGAGGUCCAAGAGCUGACAACUGAAGUUGAAAAAAUCAAGCUGGCAGCCCUGAAGCAGCAGCUGGUUGCUUCCCACCUGGAGAAGCU